GACGAACGCUGGCGGCGUGCCUAAUACAUGCAAGUUGAGCGCUGAAGGUUGGUACUUGUACCAACUGGAUGAGCAGCGAACGGGUGAGUAACGCGUGGGGAAUCUGCCUUUGAGCGGGGGACAACAUUUGGAAACGAAUGCUAAUACCGCAUAAAAACUUUAAACACAAGUUUUAAGUUUGAAAGAUGCAAUUGCAUCACUCAAAGAUGAUCCCGCGUUGUAUUAGCUAGUUGGUGAGGUAAAGGCUCACCAAGGCGAUGAUACAUAGCCGACCUGAGAGGGUGAUCGGCCACAUUGGGACUGAGACACGGCCCAAACUCCUACGGGAGGCAGCAGUAGGGAAUCUUCGGCAAUGGACGAAAGUCUGACCAAGCAACGCCGCGUGAGUGAAGAAGGUUGUCGGAUCGUAAAACUCUGUUGGUAGAGAAGAACGUUGGUGAGAGUGGAAAGCUCAUCAAGUGACGGUAACUACCCAGAAAGGGACGGCUAACUACGUG
rnacentral:rRNA from 1 species